GACUGUACGCUGGAGCUGUUUAGUAUUCGUACUAAGUAUCUUACUGCUCACGGACAAGAAAUUGCAAUUCUGAGCUUCCUCAAAAAAAAAAAAAGUAGAGCAGAGUAGAUACUAGAGAGAUAGAGUUACUGGGGCGCAGGCAUGGGGGGCAGGUAAAUUGUUUGUAGGAUUAGGUCAGUCCUUGGGAGGCAGGUGGCCCAAUGUUGCAACUAGUAGUACUAAUAAUACUGAUGAUUUCUCUACUUAUCCUUGAGUUCUCUAAGCUUGCAUCACUAUUGAACCGCUAAUACAAUUAUGGUGAAUAUAUCAGCCUUCUGAGUACACAAUGUAGGCAUAUAUUUGGUUCAGAAUCUGAUGUGUAUUCUGAGUUCACAAUGCUAUUUGACGAGAACUUGGAUGUUGCUACAGCACGUGCACUUAUGCAGAGUGGUCUCAGAUCUUGCCCAGAAUCAGAGGAUGUCUGGAUUAAGUAUCUUCGCAAGGAGCUUACUUGUGUUAAUAAGCUUAAGGCUUGAGAGGUAGCCCCUGGGGAGGACAUGAACACACUGCAUAGAGACAAUGAGCUGAACAAAGAUUUCUCUGGCCAUGAAAUUGUUUCUCAUGACGAGAUAUUUCGAGAAACGGGUGAAAUGUGCAAUGUUAUCAUUAAGUUCAGCUGGCGAGAGUGAUUGCUGAGCUUGAGUUUCUUCUGCCAUUGUUGGAUGAGUUUUGCAAAAGGAUGGUAUUAAGCAAGCUAGGAAGAUGUAUUAGAGACUGUUAGCAAACACAAUGGGAAGAAAGAAAGGAGAGGGGUAGCUUGAGAACAGGAGGCAUCAGGAACACCGUGAACUGAAUGCGCUGCGUUCCAUGCUGCUUUCCUCCAACGAGCUGCCGUCUGUCGCUAUCUUGGAGCAAACUUCCAACUAAGACAUUUUUUCCUUGUUUGCCUUGGAUUUGUGACGAGUCGGGCCUUUUUGCAUUCCAGCAUGGUCUUCUAGCAUUUGUCACUUGUCAGGCUUUGAGAGAGUGUCAACAACAUUGUGCUAAGACCUCGUGAAAAUCAUCGGUCCAAAUGUAUGGGGAGAACAUUUCAGUAUAAAGACCGGUUCCAAGCUAAGGCAAUUAGCAUGGCCCCAAAUGUCAGUCUGUGGUAGCCAAACUAGCUAGCAUUCCAUAAGCGUGAGGUGGAUGAAUUUCUAGACGCCCCUGUGAAGUAGAAGUAGAGUUCCCGCAAAAAAAAAAAGAAAUAGAAGUACAGUUUGAGAAAGAAGAGACUAAUAAAGUUUUAGGUGGUGAGAAAGGUGGGAAACUGGAAGCAAAUAAAUGAUUCGAAUGAAGUGCAUGAUUUGUGUAAUUUGAACAGGCAACUUCCUGGAGUUUGUGCAUGAGUAUGUUUCCCAUAUCUAUAUAUUACUUGUUACUGCAUGAUUGUUUUUUUUUCAGUUUUUAGUUGCGUUUGGAUAAUGAGGUGUUGUGAUUUACCCUACAUCCUAGAAAAUGGGGCCAACUGUAGAAUCAUUCGCACCACAUUCUCGUGGCACAUCUACAUUCUCGAUGAUAGAUGGCGACGUACUACACAGAAGAGAAGCAUGUGUGGACUCACAAAGUACAUAGAAGAGAAGACGAUUUCAUGCUGGAAGCACGGGAGGAAUCAAAAUUCUGCCGUACAUAGCUCGGGCAUUAGCCCGGCAGCGGCAGCAAGGGAGGGAGCCGGCUGCCGCUGGAGUGGAAGAUUCUCCUGAGUCGCCAUGGAAGGCAGCGGGUGGACCGAGUAGAUCAAUCUGUCAACUUUGAGAAGCCUACGUUCUUCGCUUCAGUUUCUGGGAUUGCCUUUGUCAUGUGGAUACUUCUGAAAACUAAAACCAAUAAAAAGUAACAAUCUUCAGUGGAGAUAUGUGUGCUCAUCAUGCGAAGAAACCACAUCACUAUCAGCGGCCUUUCAGCCAAAGCAAUGCAAGAAAAGAAAGCAGAGGAUUAGCUUGAGAAGAGGAGCAGAAGGGAAUGCUUGGCAUGAAUCCAAAGUACUGCAUUGCAUGUGGUGUUUUGCUCCAGCAAGCCGCAUCCUCUUCACGCUUGGGGCAAACUUCCAGCUGAAACAUUUUUUCUUUUCUUCGCCUUUUUGGCUUGGCAGUCCAAGUCAAGUGGGUCUGGGAUCUACUGAAUGGAAGUAUAUAUACCGUUUGACUUUUUGAAUCCCUGAGUGCAAUUCUCAAGUCCUUCAUAACAAAGAUCAACAGAACUCAAAAGCUAUUUCUGUUACCAAGAAUGAAUCUUCAGUGAAGAUAUGUGUACUCAUACGA